UCCUCUUGGAGAAGAAAAUGUUCUUUGAUUGGUUUUGUGACAAUACAACCAUAAUUUCUCACCCUUAAUUAGAAGGUGACAAAUGGCAUGUAGGGAGACACUGUGAGAGUGGACGGUGAGGGGUGCUCCUGGCAUGCACUGGGUAGAGACCAAGGACAGGGGUCAGCAUCCUACAAUGCCAAGGAGGACCCUGGAAAGAAAAUACUCAUCAAAAGGGGGUA